AAAAUGACGGUCCUCCAGAAGAAGCUCCGGCCAACUACGUGCCAGCAGCCGCGGUAAUACGUAGGGAGCAAACGUUGUCCGGAUUUAUUGGGCGUAAAGGGCUCGUAGGCGGUUCAACAAGUCGAUCGUGAAAGCCCGGGCUCAACCCCGGGAGGCCGGUCGAAACUGUUGUGACUAGAGUUCGGUAGAGGUGAGUGGAAUUCUCGGUGUAGCGGUGGAAUGCGCAGAUAUCGAGAGGAACACCAUUAGCGAAGGCGGCUCACUGGGCCGAUACUGACGCUGAGGAGCGAAAGCGUGGGGAGCAAACAGGAUUAGAAACCCUGGUAGUCCACGCCGUAAACGAUGAACACUAGGUGUGGCGGACUGAUUCAUGUCUGCUGCGCCGUAGCUAACGCAUUAAGUGUUCCGCCUGGGGAGUACGGCCGCAAGGCUAAAACUCAAAGGAAUUGACGGGGCCCCGCACAAGCGGCGGAGCAUGCGGCUUAAUUCGAUGCAACCCGAAGAACCUUACCUGGGUUUGACUCAUGGGUCUAGCUGUGGAAACACAGUGUGCUUACGCGCCCAUGACAGGUGGUGCAUGGCUGUCGUCAGCUCGUGUCGUGAGAUGUUGGGUUAAGUCCCGCAACGAGCGCAACCCUUGUCCUAUGUUGCCAGCACGUAAUGGUGGGGACUCAUGGGAGACUGCCGGGGACAACUCGGAGGAAGGCGAGGACGAUGUCAAGUCAUCAUGCCCCUUAUAUCCAGGGCUGCACGCAUGCUACAAUGGGCGAUACAAUGGGCUGCGAUCCCGCGAGGGUCAGCUAAUCCCGUAAAGUCGUCCUCAGUUCGGAUUGGAGUCUGCAACUCGACUCCAUGAAGCCGGAGUCGCUAGUAAUCGUGGAUCAGCAAAGCCACGGUGAAUACGUUCUCGGGGCUUGUACACACCGCCCGUCACAUCACGGAAGUCGGUAACACCCGAAGUCAGUGGCCUAACCCUUGUGGAAGGAGCUGCCGAAGGUGGGAUUGGUGACUGGGGUGAAGUCGUAACAAGGUA
rnacentral:rRNA from 1 species